GACGAAGGUGGCGAGCGUUGUUCGGAAUCACUGGGCAUAAAGCGCACGCAGGCGGUCUGCUAAGUUUGGAGUGACAGUUGGUGGCUUAACUGCCAAAGUGCUUCGAAAACUGACAGACUUGAGGGCUUCAGAGGGACACGGAAUUCCGGGUGGAGUGGUGAAAUGCGUAGAGAUCCGGAGGAACACCAAAGGCGAAGGCAGUGUCCUGGGGAGUACCUGACGCUCAGGUGCGAAAGCCAGGGGAGCGAACGGG
rnacentral:rRNA from 1 species